rnacentral:rRNA from 1 species
GAUUUCUGGUACGGCGCGCUUGGCCCGCCAGGGUUACCUGGUUGUGUGCUGGUGCGCGCCUGCCAUCCUUUUGCAUGUCAGUUCUAUCCUUUACUGGUGUGAACUGGUUUGCAAAUCUUUUACUUUGAAAAAAUUAGAGUGUUUAAAGCAGGCUUGCGCUAUGAAUACAUUAGCAUGGAAUAAUAAUUUAGGACUUUGGUUCUAUUUUGUUGGUUUCUAGGACUAAAGUAAUGAUUGAUAGGGAUAGUUGGGGGUGCUAGUAUUCAGCGGCCAGAGGUGAAAUUCUUGGAUUCGCUGAAGACUAACUUAUGCGAAAGCAUU